GACGAACGCUGGCGGCGUGCCUAACACAUGCAAGUCGAGCGAAGUGAGUACUACGGUACGAACUUAGCGGCGGACGGGUGAGUAACGCGUGGACAAUCUACCCUGUAGACUGGGAUAACACCUCGAAAGGGGUGCUAAUACCGGAUAAUGUCGAGAAGCGGCAUCGCUUUUCGAAGAAAGGAGAGAAUCCGCUAUAGGAGGAGUCCGCGUCCCAUUAGCUAGUUGGUGAGGGUAACGGCCCACCAAGACGACGAUGGGUAGCCGGCCUGAGAGGGUGGACGGCCACACGGGAACUGAGACACGGUCCAGACUCCUACGGGAGGCAGCAGUGGGGAAUAUUGUGCAAUGGGGGAAACCCUGACACAGCAACGCCGCGUGAGCGAAGAAGGCCUUCGGGUUGUAAAGCUCAAUAGUAUGGGAAGAUAAUGACGGUACCAUACGAAAGCCCCGGCUAACUACGUGCCAGCAGCCGCCGUAACAC
rnacentral:rRNA from 1 species